GGUGUUACUGGUCCAUGCAGCCUGGGCGACUAGGACAGCAUGUAACCUCUCAAUACACGGCCCUAUCCUUCCAUCAACAUUGAGCAGAGACUGCCCAGCAUGCUCAAAUUACACAGCCGUACCAGCCUGCACCGGGAACGAGGGAGAGAUAGAAAUCUGAGAAAAACAGAGGACAGGACUGAGAAGGGGAUGAAGACAGUGAAACGAGAGGGAGGCUGAAACAGUUGAGGAAGUGAGUCGCCAAUGAGAAAGGACUUUGAUGGACAGAAAGAGACAACGCAGGCUGGCUUUUGAUGGAUGGAGACACGGUUAGUAAAUACACACGGACCCAACCCCUCCCCAUCGUCCCUGCUGCCUCAGCACCAGCCAAACUGCCUGCCUCCUCUCCUCCACACAAGAAAGGUUAAGUCAUGACAAUAUUGCCCCAGAUCAUGAAAAUAUAAGCAAUACUUCUUUCCCUGCCACCCAGGGUAAACCCAUCCAUCUUCCCACCGGAGACGGCAAAGAAAGGAAAGGAGCUUAAGGAGCAGAGGAGAAGCGUGCUAGACUACUUUUCCGAGAGAUCUGUUUGUAUAAAUCCAAGAAAUCUCUGUCCUGUGGAGAUUGCAAGAGACAGGGAAAGAGGAUUGAGAGGAGCUCCGCUGUGGAAGCAGUACCGUUAAGGUCGGGUGGCACAUCACACAUGGAGGAACUGUUGGCCUGCUGUGUCCAUUUUCCAUAUCUGUGCUUGACGGAGGGGAAAACUGUGCUUGCUGGAAGUAAAUCCCAAGAAAUCCACAUUCAAUUACAUUAGUCUAAAGCACUCAUUUUCCAAAACAGCAUGCGCUAAAACCAUUACAAUUUGUCCCACCAGAAACAGCGUUCCUAAAGUCGAGAUCGCCAAAAAGCACAAAAGUUCAUACAAUUAUAUACAAUUUCUUUCUUUUCCAGUGCAAACUGUACCUCAAAUAAUGUACAGAAUAGUGCUUAUGGCUAACAUCUACACAGCCUCUUUACAUUUUCUGCAUACGUCCUC
ensembl:lncRNA